rnacentral:rRNA from 1 species
UACGUAGGGUGCGAGCGUUGUCCGGAAUUACUGGGCGUAAAGAGCUCGUAGGUGGUUUGUCGCGUUGUUCGUGAAAACUCACAGCUCAACUGUGGGCGUGCGGGCGAUACGGGCAGACUGGAGUACUGCAGGGGAGACUGGAAUUCCUGGUGUAGCGGUGGAAUGCGCAGAUAUCAGGAGGAACACCGGUGGCGAGGCGGGUCUCUGGGCCAUAACUGACGCUGAGGAGCGAAAGCGUGGGGAGCGAACAGG